rnacentral:rRNA from 1 species
CAGUAGCCGCGGGAAUACAGAGGGUGCGAGCGUUAAUCGGAUUUACUGGGCGUAAAGCGUGCGUAGGCGGCUUUUUAAGUCGGAUGUGAAAUCCCUGAGCUUAACUUAGGAAUUGCAUUCGAUACUGGGAAGCUAGAGUAUGAGAGAGGAUGGUAGAAUUCCAGGUGUAGCGGUUAAAUGCGUAGAGAUCUGGAGGAAUACCGAUGGCGAAGGCAGCCAUCUGGCCUAAUACUGACGCUGAGGUACGAAAGCAUGGGGAGCAAACAGGAUUAGAUACCCCUGUAGUCCAUGUCUCUUAUAC